rnacentral:rRNA from 1 species
AUGAUCUGGCAUGUACAAAAUAAAAACUUCAUUCUCGAUUCUAUGAGAAUUUUUAAGAAAGUGUUUCAUUUGCUUCUCUUUAAUGGAAGUUUCAUUUUCCCAGAAUGUAUCCUAAUUUUUGGCCUAAUUCUUCUUCUAACGAUCGAUUCAACCUCUGAUAAAAAAGAUAGACCUUGGUUCCCUCCGUUCCUAAAUAUAAGACUUUUUGGAGAUUCUAAUCCUCUAUAA